ACGAAGGGGAAGGAUCUAACGUGCAAAUUCCCCAUUUUGAACAAAUGGCACAGAUCCGGCAUGCUAAUCGGGCCAACGCGUGGAUCCUUAUUUCUUUUGAAUGGCACCACUUUUUAUUGUGCCUUUAAACAUAACUUUUUAACUUUAAAAAAACAGAAGCCAUCAAUCUCUCUUGCUAGGAUUUCAUUCAACUCACCGUCGACGAACCAAUAUCACGCCUAGUGGCCGACGGCGUGCGAUUAAUGACCAGAUCUUUGCCAACGAAGGCCGCAACUAUGGAAAUCUGGUAGAUUACUCUUUCACUCUUCUUAUUUUCUAAAAAAAAACUUCAAAUCCUAUACUAUCUCCACACUCUUGGAAUAUUCGGCUCUUCUCAGCGCCGACGCAGGUAGGCACGACAUGGCGAAGCCGCUCAUGAGCUUGUCAAUGUGGGGCGUGAAGUGUUAGGGCUACUUAUGGCGUUUGCGGCCCUGGCUGUUGGCUAGGGUUGGCCGAAAGUUUGGUUGGUAUUUUGGGCCUAGGGUAUUUUGGGUUUAGGUUUAUUAGGUUGGGUUUAUUGUUGGGUUAAUAAAUGUAAAUGACUGGACUUUUAAAUUAGUUUGGUUUUAUUAUUAUUUUUAUUUUUUGGCUUUCUGGCUUAUUAUAGGCCCGGGUAAAUUGAGCCUAUUACAGAUUGUUUAUGUUUAAUUUUAAUGUUUAGCUAAAUUGUCAUGUGAUAAAUACUUGGGAUAUGAAUAUGAGGCGAUUUGAUGCUUGUUAAUUAA